rnacentral:rRNA from 1 species
GGGUUGUGAGGUUAAGCGACUAAGCGUACACGGUGGAUGCCCUGGCAGUCAGAGGCGAUGAAGGACGUGCUAAUCUGCGAUAAGCGUCGGUAAGGUGAUAUGAACCGUUAUAACCGGCGAUUUCCGAAUGGGGAAACCCAGUGUGAUUCGUCACACUAUCAUUAACUGAAUCCAUAGGUUAAUGAGGCGAACCGGGGGAACUGAAACAUCUAAGUACCCCGAGGAAAAGAAAUCAACCGAGAUUCCCCCAGUAGCGGCGAGCGAACGGGGAGGAGCCCAGAGCCUGAAUCAGUGUGUGUGUUAGUGGAAGCGUCUGGAAAGGCGCGCGAUACAGGGUGACAGCCCCGUACACAAAAAUGCACAUGCUGUGAGCUCGAUGAGUAGGGCGGGACACGUGGUAUCCUGUCUGAAUAUGGGGGGACCAUCCUCCAAGGCUAAAUACUCCUGACUGACCGAUAGUGAACCAGUACCGUGAGGGAAAGGCGAAAAGAACCCCGGCGAGGGGAGUGAAAAAGAACCUGAAACCGUGUACGUACAAACAGUGGGAGCACAGAGCAAUCUGUGUGACUGCGUACCUUUUGUAUAAUGGGUCAGCGACUUAUAUUCUGUAGCAAGGUUAACCGAAUAGGGGAGCCGAAGGGAAACCGAGUCUUAACUGGGCGUUAAGUUGCAGGGUAUAGACCCGAAACCCGGUGAUCUAGCCAUGGGCAGGUUGAAGGUUGGGUAACACUAACUGGAGGACCGAACCGACUAAUGUUGAAAAAUUAGCGGAUGACUUGUGGCUGGGGGUGAAAGGCCAAUCAAACCGGGAGAUAGCUGGUUCUCCCCGAAAGCUAUUUAGGUAGCGCCUCGUGAAUUCAUCUCCGGGGGUAGAGCACUGUUUCGGCAAGGGGGUCAUCCCGACUUACCAACCCGAUGCAAACUGCGAAUACCGGAGAAUGUUAUCACGGGAGACACACGGCGGGUGCUAACGUCCGUCGUGAAGAGGGAAACAACCCAGACCGCCAGCUAAGGUCCCAAAGUCAUGGUUAAGUGGGAAACGAUGUGGGAAGGCCCAGACAGCCAGGAUGUUGGCUUAGAAGCAGCCAUCAUUUAAAGAAAGCGUAAUAGCUCACUGGUCGAGUCGGCCUGCGCGGAAGAUGUAACGGGGCUAAACCAUGCACCGAAGCUGCGGCAGCGACACUGUGUGUUGUUGGGUAGGGGAGCGUUCUGUAAGCCUGUGAAGGUGUGCUGUGAGGCAUGCUGGAGGUAUCAGAAGUGCGAAUGCUGACAUAAGUAACGAUAAAGCGGGUGAAAAGCCCGCUCGCCGGAAGACCAAGGGUUCCUGUCCAACGUUAAUCGGGGCAGGGUGAGUCGACCCCUAAGGCGAGGCCGAAAGGCGUAGUCGAUGGGAAACAGGUUAAUAUUCCUGUACUUGGUGUUACUGCGAAGGGGGGACGGAGAAGGCUAUGUUGGCCGGGCGACGGUUGUCCCGGUUUAAGCGUGUAGGCUGGUUUUCCAGGCAAAUCCGGAAAAUCAAGGCUGAGGCGUGAUGACGAGGCACUACGGUGCUGAAGCAACAAAUGCCCUGCUUCCAGGAAAAGCCUCUAAGCAUCAGGUAACAUCAAAUCGUACCCCAAACCGACACAGGUGGUCAGGUAGAGAAUACCAAGGCGCUUGAGAGAACUCGGGUGAAGGAACUAGGCAAAAUGGUGCCGUAACUUCGGGAGAAGGCACGCUGAUAUGUAGGUGAAGUCCCUCGCGGAUGGAGCUGAAAUCAGUCGAAGAUACCAGCUGGCUGCAACUGUUUAUUAAAAACACAGCACUGUGCAAACACGAAAGUGGACGUAUACGGUGUGACGCCUGCCCGGUGCCGGAAGGUUAAUUGAUGGGGUCAGCGCAAGCGAAGCUCUUGAUCGAAGCCCCGGUAAACGGCGGCCGUAACUAUAACGGUCCUAAGGUAGCGAAAUUCCUUGUCGGGUAAGUUCCGACCUGCACGAAUGGCGUAAUGAUGGCCAGGCUGUCUCCACCCGAGACUCAGUGAAAUUGAACUCGCUGUGAAGAUGCAGUGUACCCGCGGCAAGACGGAAAGACCCCGUGAACCUUUACUAUAGCUUGACACUGAACAUUGAGCCUUGAUGUGUAGGAUAGGUGGGAGGCUUUGAAGUGUGGACGCCAGUCUGCAUGGAGCCGACCUUGAAAUACCACCCUUUAAUGUUUGAUGUUCUAACGUGGACCCGUGAUCCGGGUUGCGGACAGUGUCUGGUGGGUAGUUUGACUGGGGCGGUCUCCUCCUAAAGAGUAACGGAGGAGCACGAAGGUUGGCUAAUCCUGGUCGGACAUCAGGAGGUUAGUGCAAUGGCAUAAGCCAGCUUGACUGCGAGCGUGACGGCGCGAGCAGGUGCGAAAGCAGGUCAUAGUGAUCCGGUGGUUCUGAAUGGAAGGGCCAUCGCUCAACGGAUAAAAGGUACUCCGGGGAUAACAGGCUGAUACCGCCCAAGAGUUCAUAUCGACGGCGGUGUUUGGCACCUCGAUGUCGGCUCAUCACAUCCUGGGGCUGAAGUAGGUCCCAAGGGUAUGGCUGUUCGCCAUUUAAAGUGGUACGCGAGCUGGGUUUAGAACGUCGUGAGACAGUUCGGUCCCUAUCUGCCGUGGGCGCUGGAGAACUGAGGGGGGCUGCUCCUAGUACGAGAGGACCGGAGUGGACGCAUCACUGGUGUUCGGGUUGUCAUGCCAAUGGCACUGCCCGGUAGCUAAAUGCGGAAGAGAUAAGUGCUGAAAGCAUCUAAGCACGAAACUUGCCCCGAGAUGAGUUCUCCCUGACCCUUUAAGGGUCCUGAAGGAACGUUGAAGACGACGACGUUGAUAGGCCGGGUGUGUAAGCGCAGCGAUGCGUUGAGCUAACCGGUACUAAUGAACCGUGAGGCUUAACCUUACAACGCCGAAGGUGUUU